rnacentral:rRNA from 1 species
AACGAACGCUGGCGGCAUGCCUAACACAUGCAAGUCGAACGAACCCUUCGGGGUUAGUGGCGCACGGGUGCGUAACGCGUGGGAAUCUGCCCUUUGCUUCGGAAUAACAGUUAGAAAUGACUGCUAAUACCGGAUGAUGUCUUCGGACCAAAGAUUUAUCGGCAAGGGAUGAGCCCGCGUAGGAUUAGGUAGUUGGUGGGGUAAAGGCCUACCAAGCCGACGAUCCGUAGCUGGUCUGAGAGGAUGAUCAGCCACACUGGGACUGAGACACGGCCCAGACUCCUACGGGAGGCAGCAGUGGGGAAUAUUGGACAAUGGGCGCAAGCCUGAUCCAGCAAUGACGCGUGAGUGAUGAAGGCCUUCGGGUCGUAAAGCUCUUUUACCAGGGAUGAUAAUGACAGUACCUGGAGAAUAAGCUCCGGCUAACUCCGUGCCAGCCGCCGCAGUAAUAC